UUUCCGGGCCCCGGAGCGGGCGGCGACCGGUGUGGGCCGAAAGGGGUGUGCGAGCGGUCCCGCGCAUGGCGUAC
rnacentral:tRNA from 1 species